rnacentral:lncRNA from 1 species
AAAAUCAUCCCCCGAAGGUCGGGGUCCCAAGACCCCCCAGAGGAAAAAUGGCCAAAAAACGGGUGGGCUAUAGCCUUGGUGGGCGGCGUGGGCGAAGUUCGUCCGCGGGACUCGGAAUGGCACCAUACUUGGCGGGCGGCCUCUGUGUGCCAAAAAUAGGCCACGGGCACAGCCGCGCCCAAAAAUCAGCCCCCGAAGGUCGGGGUCCCAAGACCCCCCAGCGGAAAAAUGGCCAAAAAACGGGUGGGCUAUAGCCUUGGUGGGGGGCGUGGGCGAAGUUCGUCCGCGGGACUCGGAAUGGCACCAUACUUGGCGGGCGGCCUCCGUGUGCCAAAAAUAGGCCACGGGCACAGCCGCGCCCAAAAAUCAGCCCCCGAAGGUCGGGGUCCCAAGACCCCCCAGUGGAAAAAUGGCCAAAAAACGGGUGGGCUUUAGCCUUGGUGGGGGGCGUGGGCGAAGUUCGUCCGCGGGACUCGGAAUGGCCCCAGACUUGGCGGGCGGCCUCCGUGUGCCAAAAAUAUGCCACGGGCACAGCCGCGCCCAAAAAUCAGCCCCCGAAGGUCGGGGUCCCAAGACCCCCCAGCAGAAAAAUGGCCAAAAAAUGGGUGGGCUAUAGCCUUGGUGGGGGGCGUGGGCGAAGUUCGUCCGCGGGACUCGAAAUGGCACCAUACUUGGCGGGCGGCCUCUGUGUGCCAAAAAUAGGCCACGGGCACAGCCGCGCCGAAAAAUCCGCCCCCGAAGGUCAGGGUCCCAAGACCCCCCAGCGGAAAAAUGGCCAAAAAACGGGUGGGCUAUAGCCUUGGUGGGGGGCGUGGGCGAAGUUCGUCCGCGGGACUCGGAAUGGCCUCAGACUUGGCAGGCGGCCUCCCUGUGCCAAAAAAAGGCCACGGGCACAGCCGCGCCCAAAAAUCAGCCCCCGAAGGUCGGGGUCCCAAGACCCCCCAGCGGAAAAAUGGCCAAAAAACGGGUGGUCUAUAGCCUUGGUGGGCGGCGUGGGCGAAGUUCGUCCGCGAGACUCGGAAUGGCACCAGACUUGGCGGGGGGCAUCCGUGUGCCAAAAAUAGGCCACGGGCACAGCCGCUCCCAAAAAUCAGCCCCCGAAGGUCGGGGUCCCAAGACCCCCCAGCGGAAAAAUGGCCAAAAAACGGUGGGCUAUAGCCUUGGUGGGGGGCGUGGGCGAAGUUCGUCCGCGGGACUCGGAAUGGCACCAUACUUGGCGGGCGGCCUCUGUGUGCCAAAAAUAGGCCACGGGCACAGCCGCGCCCAAAAAUCAACCCCCGAAGGUCGGGGUCCCAAGACCCCCCAGUGGAAAAAUGGCCAAAAAACGGGUGGGCUAUAGCCUUGGUGGGGGGCGUGGGCGAACUUCGUCCGCCGGACUCGGAAUGGCCCCUGACUUGGCGGGCGGCCUCCGUGUGCCAAAAAUAGGCCACGGGCACAGCCGCGCCCAAAAAUCAGCCCCCGAAGGUAGGGGUCCCAAGACCCCCCAGCGGAAAAAUGGCCAAAAAACGGGUGGGCUAUAGCCUUGGUGGGGGGCCUNN